UACGUAGGGUGCGAGCGUUAAUCGGAAUUACUGGGCGUAAAGCGUGCGCAGGCGGCUUUGCAAGACAGAUGUGAAAGCCCCGGGCUCAACCUGGGAAUUGCGUUGGAGACUGCAAGGCUUGAAUCUGGCAGAGGGGGAUGGAAUUCCGCGUGUAGCAGUGAAAUGCGUAGAUAUGCGGAGGAACACCAAUGGCGAAGGCAAUCCCCUGGGCCUGUACUGACGCUCAUGCACGAAAGCGUGGGGAGCAAACAGG
rnacentral:rRNA from 1 species